rnacentral:rRNA from 1 species
AAUCUUCCGCAAUGGACGAAAGCCUGACGGAGCAACGCCGCGUGAGUGAUGAAGGUUUUCGGAUCGUAAAACUCUGUUGUUAGGGAAGAACAAGUACCGGAGUCACUGCCGGUACCUUGACGGUACCUGACGAGAAAGCCACGGCUAACUACGUUCCAGCAGCCGCGGUAAUACGUAGGUGGCAAGCGUUGUCAGGAUUUAUUGGGCGUAAAGCGCGCGCAGGCGGUCUUUUAAGUCUGAUAUGAAAUCUUACAGCUUAACUGUAAGCGGUCAUUGGAAACUGGGAGACUUGAGUGCAGAAGAGGAGAGUGGAAUUCCAUGUGUAGCGGUGAAAUUCGCAGAUAUUCGGAAGAACACCAGUGGCGAAGGCGACAUACUGGCUCAUUACUGACGCUGAGGCGCGAAAGCGUGGGGAGCAAACA